UAGGGAAUCUUCCGCAAUGGGCGAAAGCCUGACGGAGCAACGCCGCGUGAGUGAUGAAGGUCUUCGGAUUGUAAAACUCUGUUAUUAGGGAAGAACAAAUGUGUAAGUAACUAUGCACGUCUUGACGGUACCUAAUCAGAAAGCCACGGCUAACUACGUGCCAGCAGCCGCGGUAAUACGUAGGUGGCAAGCGUUAUCCGGAAUUAUUGGGCGUAAAGCGCGCGUAGGCGGUUUUUUAAGUCUGAUGUGAAAGCCCACGGCUCAACCGUGGAGGGUCAUUGGAAACUGGAAAACUUGAGUGCAGAAGAGGAAAGUGGAAUUCCAUGUGUAGCGGUGAAAUGCGCAGAGAUAUGGAGGAACACCAGUGGCGAAGGCGACUUUCUGGUCUGUAACUGACGCUGAUGUGCGAAAGCGUGGGGAUCAAACAGGAUUAGAUACCCUGGUAGUCCACGCCGUAAACGAUGAGUGCUAAGUGUUAGGGGGUUUCCGCCCCUUAGUGCUGCAGCUAACGCAUUAAGCACUCCGCCUGGGGAGUACGACCGCAAGGUUG
rnacentral:rRNA from 1 species